AGUCAGAGUCAGCCGGCCGCGAAUACCGAGAGGACGCCUCUCCGUUCGUUCACGAGUAUCGUCGUCCAAGACCAUCCACGCGACGAUCUCCAAAUGUUUUCGUCAUAGUCCUUCGAAGCUUUUGCUGGCCGCUACCCCUGUUUUACCGCCGUCGUAGUUCGUUAUCUGUGUUAUCAAAUGUCCUCGACAUCGAGUCUGCCAACGAUUUCUCGUGCAUUAACGAUACCUCCUGUGACAGACUAAAAGGCGCGCUCGAUGGUAUAAUUGAUGAAUAUGAAAUAAAAAGUUUCCUAAAAGUGUGUGAGAGAACGAGAGAAAGAGAACAUUUGUGCUGACGAUAGAAAGAAUUUAAAAAGAAAAGAUUUCAAAGAAAGAAUAUAGUUUUUAGUGUGAUAAGUAUUUUGACAUUGAUUUCAAUACGGUUCGAAAUCAAACGGUGUGAAUAAUUGAAAAGAGUCGAAGAGACGUUACUACUCGAUAAAGUUGUUGCCGCUACUGUCGCAAGGACACAACACCGGUAUCGGCCACGAGCAGCCAGAGAGUUUUACCCUCUCUCACGGCGCAUCCGAGUCGCACGCGCGUGCAACACUCUCUGGUGGGUUCCGCACGUUCAGCCGAGCUAGUCGGCGGAGCGUUUCUCGCUUGUUUUGUCGUUGUUAUGAGGAGGUGAUGAAUAGACGAAAGCGUUGUAGUGUCGAGCAACGUGGUGACCGUGCUCGUCGUCGUGACGGACGAUGACGAUGAACGUAGACAGAUAUCAUAAACGCGAGGAAGUGUGCUCGUUGGUGUGAUUCAGUGUUUUACUUCGAAUCAAUUCCAUUUUACACGAGAAUUGGAUUGGAUUUAUUAUUUCGUGAAUCAAGUGUAUCUACCGAGGAUAAUGCGAUUCUGUGUCAUUCUUUAGCAGUAAGUCCGGUUUUCAUUGUAUCGCCUUUAACGCGUGAGGCGCGAUCAUCGGGGUCGUUUUCGUGAAAGUUAGCAAGAAGAACAGCAUCAACAACGGCGGCGAUAGGCGUUGGGGUGCAGCCCGUGUUAUCAUCCGGCUAUCAUAGCACGGUGCCACCCCAGAACGGGGGUGGUGGUUCGACAUUUAGUGCCGCGGCGAUGGUGGCAGCUGCCACCGCUACGGCCACCGCCACUGCUAGCGUGGUGGCCAUGCAGGACCGCCAAGACAUCCCCUCGCAAUUCAAUCAGAUGCAGAGCCAACAUGGAAUACCCCACCAAACGUACAACGCAGGGUACGCCCAAAGAGGACCAAUGGCCGGAAUGGGGCCAGUCGGGAUGAGCAACUUUAACAGCAUGGGCACGAUGAGCCCGAUGCACUCUAUGAAUUCCAUGAAUUCGAUGAACAGUAUGAAUGGCAUGAACUCGAUGAAUCCUAUGUCGAUGGGAGGUAUGAACGGUAUAAGUGGUAUGAACGGGAUGACCCCCAUGAGCUCCAUGAGUAACAUGGGUAAUAUGGGCAUGAACAAUAUGAUGGGACCUAACAACAUGCAGAUGAACAAGAUGAGCAUGCAGGCUCAACCACACCAGGGCUAUCCAAGAAGACUAGCACCUUAUCCGAACCCUGCGAUGCACAUGGCGCAGAAGAGGCAACAGGGUCCUUACCCGGGUCCCAACCCGGCUGCGAUGCAACCGGCCUUCAACGGCAUGACGACGUCGCAGUACCCGACCAAUUAUCCCGCGGCAGCCAGACCGAACUUUCAACCUCAGUACCAGCCGAUGCAAACGAUGAAUCCUUCGGCAGCUGGCUUUGGGCCUAACUCGAUGAUACGAGGAGCGAAUAUGAGGCAAACUGCACCCUCGUACCAAACCGCGAAUCAAGCGGCAACCAAUCAAUACUACGGUAGCAAUGGUAUACCGGUUAGCAUGGGACCUACCACGGUGGGCAAUCAAUUCGUUGGCCACCAACCUAACUCAGGAUACGCCGGUGGCGCGUCUUCGUACGGGGCGACCGGGGCUGUGACCAGUCAGUACCAACAGGAUGUCGCGUCGAUGAGAACGACGGGCGCAGGGACUCUGAAUUACCAGCACAGUCCCAUCCCUGGUAACCCGACACCUCCGUUGACUCCGGCCACUAGUAUGCCUCCGUACAUCAGUCCGAAUCCGGACAUCAAGCCUAAUUUCAACGAUAUGAAGUCACCGGUUAACAUUCAGAAGGACGAUGAGUUAAGAUUAACAUUCCCCGUGAGGGAUGGCAUCAUUCUUCCACCCUUCCGCUUAGAACAUAAUCUGGCUGUAAGCAACCACGUAUUCCAACUGAAGUCCACGGUCCAUCAAACCCUGAUGUGGCGAUCGGACCUGGAACUGCAGCUCAAGUGUUUCCAUCACGAGGACAGGCAAAUGAACACGAACUGGCCGGCGAGCGUGCAAGUAUCUGUAAAUGCUACGCCGUUGGUUAUCGAUCGUGGUGAAAAUAAAACGUCUCAUAAGCCCUUAUACCUGAAGGACGUUUGUCAAUCGGGAAGGAACACAAUACAGAUCACGGUAUCGGCGUGUUGUUGCUCACAUUUGUUUGUGCUACAAUUAGUUCAUCGACCAAGCGUGCGAAGCGUACUUCACGGAUUGUUACGUAAAAGGCUGCUCACGGCGGAACAUUGUAUCACUAAGAUUAAACGAAAUUUCAGUAAUACUAUUUCAAAUAAUGGUAUUCAGUCGGAGAAGGAUGUUGUAGAACAGACAGCACUUAAGGUAUCCUUAAAAUGUCCUAUUACCUUUAAACGUAUUACACUGCCAGCUAGGGGACACGAUUGUAAACAUAUUCAAUGCUUCGAUCUCGAGUCGUACCUACAGCUAAAUUGUGAAAGAGGAUCGUGGAGAUGUCCUGUAUGCACGAAACCUGCCCAAUUAGAAGGUUUAGAGGUUGACCAGUACAUGUGGGGCAUUCUGAACACUUUGAACACCGCGGAGGUCGAAGAGGUGACGAUAGACUCGGUGGCGAAUUGGAAACCAGCUAAGAAUUUAACUGGCAUCAAAUCCGAGGAAGAAAGCGAUUGCAAAAGAAUGACGAAGGCAAUGUCACCUGGAAGUAUGAACAUGCCAACGAUGAAUAAUUGGGAUAUGAAUCAGGCAAUGAGUCCGUACAUACCGCCUGAUAUGAGUAGCAUCGUAAGCGGCUCUAUGAUGAAUAACACGCCGUCUACGUACGCGAAUAAUAAUAUCAAUCAUCGGAAUUCGUCUGGAGGAUCGUUCGAUAUCAACUCCGGAACGAAUACGAAUACCAAUAACGAUUACACAAACGGUGCAGGGCCACUGUCGCACUUGAAUGAAUCAGUCAACUCCUUGGAUCCUCUCAACGCUAUGGAGAAAUCACUGAACGAUCAGAUGCCUCAUACCCCACAUACACCUCAUACUCCCCAUACACCCCACACACCAGGCGGUGGAAACAGUGGUCCACCAAGUGUUCCCCCUGCAUCUCAGGAAUCCACGGGAAAUCAUAACACGUCUGGUAAUACGAGUACAAACAUAAAUAACGAUACUGCAGACAUACCAUCUGACUUAAAUUUCGACCCAGCUGCAGUAAUCGAUGGCGAGGGUACCGGUCAAGAGGCAUUGAAUCUCUUGCCAGACAAUGUCGUGGAUCCAAUGGAAUUACUUUCGUACCUGGAUCCACCAGAUCUGAACACCCCUCCCAGUAGCGGCGCUAGCAGUGGUAACCCCUCAUCAAGUGACGAUAUAUUAGCACUCUUCGAAUAAAGAAAUAUUCACGGGCAUCUCUCAAGAGAAAUAAUCAAAUCGCGACCCUAACGUUAAGGCGAAAGAAGAAGUGAGAGAAAAAAAAAAUGGAAAGAAAAAAGAAAAAAUAAAUUGAUUAACAGAAGACACAGAUGAUUAGUGACAACAGAUGACACACAGAAACGAGGGCAUAUCGGGCUUCACACUGGAGGGAGAGACUCUAUUUCACGUGGUGUAUCUCCUGAGUUUUUGCAAGUAUACACGUAUCAAAGAAAACUUCUAAUUAUGUUUAGAGAAUAUAUACUAUACAUUUUUUCAUUUAUACGAAAAAAUUUUUUUAUUUGUUAAUUUCAUUUUUUUUUAUAUCUAUUUUGAGAAUUUAUCAAAAUCGAUUUAUUCCCUUAGAUAAACGAUAUUUUGUUAUGAUACACAAAAUCUCUGAAGAUACAUCAAUUAUAUAUAGAGUUUAUUUUCACAUUUUGAUGUUGUACUUGUAAUUAAAUCUGAAACAAAAGAGUUACCAUCUUAGAGUUAUUAUUUUUGUUAAGAUUGUUUUAGAAAGAAAAAUCGCGACUAUAGAUUUAAAUUUUCCAGGGAAACUAACAAUAAAUUGCACAAAAUCAAAUUUUAUAUGGAAACAGAUGAGAAUAGGAAACUGAAUCAGUAUGAGGAAAUAAAUUCUAUAUGACAACGGUUAGCACAAAUUUUUUAAACGGACUGAUUUCUCGUUUAACGAAAAUUCAGGUUUAGAAUUAUUUGUAUGAUAAAACUGCCGGAGUGACACCGCCCAUGGCCCCCCUUGCUUGCAUAGUAGUUAUUACAUUUAUAUCUUUUGUGAUUAAAAGAGAAGAUAUACUUAAAGUGAUUCAUGUAGAUUAUACAAAUUUUAUAUUAAAACAAAAAACGUGUAUUUAUAUUCCAGUGUGCAUCAAUAGCGCACAUUGAAGGAUUAGAUGCGGUCAAGUUUCUAUUCGUAUAAUUAUAAUAAUAUUAUCGAAAAUAGGAUAACAACAUUACUUAUAUUAAGCGAGAUUAUUGUAUAUUAUCUGUAUAUAUGAUAAAUAGAUUAAUAAUAUAAGAAAAAAAAAUGGCAGAUACUUAUUGGCCAGUUAUAAUAGUAAAAAAUGAUUAUCUUAAUUAUUUCUCAGAACCAAAACAUACAAACGUGUUGUAUGAGAAUACUUUAAAAGAACUAGAAAAUAUAAUAUGUAAAUGAUGCAGGAUAAUAACAGUUCAAAUUAUUGUACUGUUAUUUCUAAUAGAAUUAUUACUUACCUAUUAAAGACAUAAUUAACGAGGAAAAAAAAGUUUAUUCAAAUUGUAAGCUUUACUUAGGAUUGCCAGGAAGUAGGCAUAUGCAACAUUGUUGCAAUUGUAUAUAGGCAAUGUCUACCUAUACCUACUUAAUAAUAUCCUAAAAUACACAAUACAUGGUCUUGGUUUACAAGUUGUAGAGCUUUAUAAAUAUUUGAUAAAAUAAAGCUAUCAUUUUUAUGGAUCCUUGCUGAUAUAAAUUAAACAGUCAAAUUAUUUAUUCCUAAGUGAACGCAUAAUUGUCAUUAUUAAUUGAUAAUUAAUAAUUAAUAAAAAUAAAAAGAUAAAAGCAUUUCAUAGCAACCUGUUUAUUUUAUUAAAUACAAACAGUUUUAUACCAAAAAGAAAACUUAAAUAAAUUUUUAAAAAAAAUUUGAAAGUGUUUGAAAAACUUACUUUAUUCUAUAGUAAGUAUAGUGUGUCAGAUGAUUAUGAAUCUCUACAACUUUAUGAUUAUAAUACCUAUUUAUCUAUUGUUAGGAGGCCUAUGAUUUGAUCCUAAAGUGCGUCACUUUGAAGACUCGAACGAAUGAAAUGUCGUGUUGUCUUGUCGAGGCCUGAAAAGCUACACUAAGAAAAUAAAAUAUUUUCAUGUAAUAACGACACAGCUGUACCUACUUAUGGCACAUUGAAUACACAUUCGAUGGAUCAAAUAAAAGUUAGAGAGCAUUUAAACUAAAUGCUGAUAAGCAUUUACAGACAAACGAUAUUUUCAUUUUAUUAAUUUCAUACAAGCAAGGUUAUUAAAAACAAAAAAAUGAUAUGGAUCAGUUUCAAGUAUCGCAUCAAUUACACCACAUGGACGUGGACCAAAUUUUUGGAGAUAUCGAAUAUCAAUUAAAUAUUUACCAUAUAUGUUGAGUUUCUUGAAACUUCUUAUUAUUACAAAAUUGAAAAUAUCGAAUAAUUAAAGGAAUAUGACUUACCACCAGGAACACAUAAUGCAUACUUGAUGUCACGAGAGUCCAUAACUGCGAAAAGACCAGUUUUCGUUCUUUUCUGCAUUGUCGCUCUGAUAGGCAAUACUUCCAGCGGAAGUGGAAAGCGAUUGGCGGAUCGCUUUCCCCCACCAUCGCUGCGUUCCCCCACCAUCUUCCAACUUGCGCGCUUAGUUAUGGACUCUCGUGACCUCAAGUAUAGACAGGAGAAGUAACGGCCCUAUACAUAUUUCCCAAGGCCGGAAUUAAGUUCGACACGUUUAGACAAUUACUCUAACAAACGGUAGCAAACAAUAGUUUAUAACUAUAAGAUUUAAGGAGAAGAAUUGAAUUUAAAUAACUGGAGAAUUGGUUAGAAUAAUUAUUUAACGAAGGGAGUACAUUGAAUUGAUUAGAAUCUUUUUCUUUUUUCUACCUGUAACGAUCAUUGGUGUAACUAGGAAGGGGCCCAGGGUGGGCCUUGACCUCUCUUAAAAUGCAGAUUUGUCCCUAUCAGUAAAAAUGAUUGAAAUAAAUAAAAACACACAUUUGUUAACUAAAUACAAGACGUACAAUAAUACUCUUGAUGAGUAAUGAGUAGUUAGACAUUUAAAACUUUUAGUAAAGUGUAAUCUGACCCACCCCAGACAAAAAUCCUAGUUAUAUCAAUGAUAAACGAUGUUUUUUAUACCGACAACGCUUUUAUAAAUCUACUUACCAUUAUUACCCCCGAAUUGUUCAUAGAUCAUACGAAGAUCGUCUCCAAAAUGGAUAAAUGAUGUUUCAUAAAUUGAAUACACCGACAUACAUAAAUACGUACGCAUUUACUAAGGUCGCCAUAAGUGACUGGUACAAGCUUGUGUAAAUUAAUAAGAGAAAUGUGCUGAUCAUUUAAAAAAAGAACAACUGAUAUCAUUGGUUACGUUUGUGUGAAAAAAUUUUAAUAUACAAAGACCAGUUUAUCACAUUGUCACAUUGUUUCUUGAUAACAGUUAGAAACAUUCAAUAAAAAA